rnacentral:sRNA from 1 species
CCCAGGGCGUUGCCCUGGGCUAUGAUAGUCUGCCCCUUCAGGGCG